UGUUAGCUGAACGUGCUGGUCACUCACGACACCUUGCUCUGCAUUCUGGGGGGUUUUGGUGGAAGGAAUCAGAGUGGCCACAUUACUGAGGAGCUGCUAGAGGAUAUUAUCUUGCCACAGAUGGUAUCAUUCCUGCAAAGUUCACUGCUCAAAAAUCCAUCUGAGCCAUGAAGUCAGCAUUUACACAGCAAGCUUGUUUUUAGUCUGCUGCAAACAUCGUAUUUCUGCAAAGAUCUAGAGUCUGGCAGCACAAGCUGUUGUAAAUUUGCAGAGCAUGGUGGCUUUUGCUUGAUGAAGAGAAGUAAAGAAACAGACACGUGUGACAACAGAGAUGUUUUGGCAGAGACAAUGUAGCUGGCAAGAAUGACAGUGUGAAAUGAAGAUAAAUGAAGAAUAUGGGCACAUGGAUCCCUAGAAGGAGGCUGGGUUGAUGUUGAUGCAGAUGCAAAUUUUCAGAAGAAAAAGUACCUCCAAUCUGAUCCAGCUGAUGGUUGUUUCAUCAACAAGACAAAGACAUCUGUCCCCACACAGCCUCUAUUUUUUGGUGGGGAGGCAGGUUUGAUCUUUUGAGUCAAAUGAUCCCUUCAAUGAAGAUCAGUAAAAUAGAAUUCCACAGUAUUAUCAAACUGAAGACACAGCAAGAGAAGAGACGAGUACAGAUAACCAGAAGCAGGAUGAAUUUGAAGUCAUCUUUUGAAAAACGUUGGUACUGAUGAGAAUUCUUGUCCUGUUUUCUAAAAGUCUGGAUAUUUCAAGUCAGGCGAGGAGUGGAUCAAGCACCUUAACUGGAAACAGGAAUCUUGCCUACAAUUUUUCCCCUUUGAGGGAGGCAAAAACAAAGGUGGUAUCCAGAAGAUGUUAAGUGACAGGGAAAUUCCAACAUUGUCUGGAAAGUUUUGACUGCCUGGACUUGCUGUGUUGACGGGUCAGCCAAGGAUGUGACAUAGAGACAGCCUUAAUAGUAUUGAUGGAUGGAGGAGAUAAGACUGAGUCAAAGAUCAACUAUUUUCCCAAGCUUAUUACAGAACUUACCUGUUUGUCAGAGCCUGUUUGCAGUAACUGAAAACAAGAAAUAAUAAACCCAUAUACAAACAAAGCCACAGUUUUUAAAAAACAAAGCUGUUGAAAAGCUGAGAGAAAUGAGAAGGAGACCCAACCGAAGCCUGUUGUGGAAUCUUAAUUACAGUAUGGUGGACUGAGAUGGAUGGAUGCCUUAAACAGACAAGUGUGUGGACAGAAAACAUGCAAGCUGCAAGAUGGCCCUCUCUGGGAAGGCAUUCAGAAAGUCAGGAAAGUCAAAUAUUUUUUCCUAUCCUUUACUGGGAGUGGGAAAUGGCAGGACUGUUUAUUUUAGCAGUCUGGGAAGUACUUCCUUGCUAAUGUGUAUGAUUUGGAGUUCUAUUUUCUUGAUGGGCUUUGCACUUUGAAAAUGAAAAGAAAAGAAGUGAAGUUUGAAGUCAGAAGGGUAACUGUACCAGAAAUGGCCUCCUGCCUCCCUAAGGUUCACGGGUGCAUCAGAAUGAGCAGGAGUUGGGUAGGAUUUACAGUUGGAAUACCGGAGGACAAGCUGAUCAUCUUCCCCGAAUAAGCAUGAAAGAUGUGUUGGAAAAACCGAAAUGUCCAUAUCCACCUUCCCGAGGACACAGUCCCCUGUGUGGAUUCCCUUCCCCUCACGUUGGCUCCAGCAGUCUGGACACUUGUCAAAUCCCCAGCAUGCAGCUGCCUGCAUCUCGCACUCCAUUAUUAUUGCUGAUGCUAAUCUCUGACCGCUGAACACGGGUCAGAACCAGGAGAUAAUUGCAGCUCCGAUCUGCCAGGCACGGUCCUUUGUGAGUAGUUAAUGAGUGUUCAGGAAAAUAAAGCAGAAAGAAGAAAAGGGGGAUUGUGGUUUGCAUACAGUGAGAUAGGGAAUGAAUAGGAGAUGGAAAGAGGGGAUAAUUCACUGAUAGGGGAAAAAGAAAGAAUUUGGGAAAAAAGAAAUCAUUUGCACUAAAGCUCCUACUGCCUUACUCUUGUUUAGCCCAAGCGGACAGGAUCUGGCAAGAAGGGGACUAAGUCAGGAUGCAGUCACACCCUGGACCUGUCAGUGAUGCUUUGAGUCUGGGUGCCAUAAAUGCAGAGAUGGGGGUCACCCUUUUCCCUGCCAGUCAGGGGUUACAACCACAAGACCGAUGCCCUUGUGUUCUUUGCUCUGAGGUAUUUGCUGUCCUUUACUCUGCAUCUCACACUGCCUGUGUGUUUGAAGGUGCCCUCUAGAGAUUGGCUAUCUACUCCUAAAAUUGGCUUUAGCUCUCUCUUAGCUUGAGUGGCAGUGACCUGUAUCUCUCUAUCUGAAUCACCAAACUUUAUUCCCAGCUCUAUCUUUAUAUCACAUACAGAGAGAUCGUUUUUGGUAUCUGAAGGAAAAAGGUGACUUUUAUCAAAUCUUUGACAGGCCCUUACUCCAAACAAAAAGUAGCUGCAUCUAGUGAUCCACAUGACACUGUUAUCCCUAGCACAGGGUUCUUUAACCCUGUGUGCAAGAAGCCAGUCCACACACAGAGUAGAGAUAUUUGAUUUUAUUUCAUGUCUGUGCAGAAAUGGGUGAUAGGUGUUAAAUCCACAACGCUGGCACCCCUUCAGUAUGCCAGGUGCUCAUUUUUGUACUCUUUGAACAAUAAAAACCCGCCAUUUCCUGUAUGCCUAACAACCUAAAGAUACAGUGUUUGGCUUUACAUUCUCGCCUCUUGGCUUAAAGAUACAGUGCACGUUUAUUUUACUAUGCAUGCUCUAAGAAGAAGGUUCUUAUAUGAGUAAGGGCUCAUCACAGGUUAUGGAUGGGCAUUUUACUAUGUUAAUGAGCACAAAGUUCAAGCUAAAUUGUUCUUUGGCUUUGUAACUUGAUUCAUAGUGUCCUCCUGUUCUUACUUUUCAGGCCAUGGCUUUUGGUUGGUACAGUUUUUUUUAUUCUCUCAUUCUUCACAAAUUCUUUUGUUUGUCCUGUACUACAUGCCAGUGAUUCAGUGAAUGUGUAACUUUUAACCUUCUCAUAUGUAUUUUAUUUCAACAACAUGAUUCCUCAUGAAGAUUCCAGAGAGCAUGAGUGUUCUUCCUUGCAGAGGAGAUGGCACCACCUGCUCCUGUGACAUCUGACAUAGGGAAUAAAUUAUGCACUAUGGGGACACAACAAUUUGGUAGUCUGGGCAUGUCUGGGUUUCCGGAAACCAGAAACCACCUCAAAGGAGGGGAAGUAAAACUGCUUCCUGCUAAUGAAUUAGAGUCACUCAGGAUGGAGUCUGAGGGGGAAAUAAAUGAUUGUGGUGCAUGUUUGUGUCCAUAUGAGUCCCCUCUUCCUAACGACCGUGUUAAUGUGCUCAUAAAAAGAUAUGGUGCAGGGGGGACGUGACUGUUCAGGCUGAUUAGCAUUUUAUGGCAGAACUAAGCUCCAUGACAAACUGCUGGCUGGGUGGACUGUUUUUACAACCCAGAAAACUCUAAGAUGCUGAAAGUAUGAGUUUCUUUUCCUUAUUUUGAGUGCUAUUAUAUUAAUAAUAAUAUUCGUUACUACUGACCUUUGAGGGGUCCUGCAACUCCCAUGAAAACAUAAGCUGGUGAGGGAGUUUCAGUGACUCAGGUGAGUCCUAACCAGAAGUGCUCUAUACUGGCACAACAGGACAGGGCACUAGGCUCACAGAAAUACCUGCAAUCAGCUGCAAAGCAUGACUGAGAUUCUGGGGCCUCUUGGACCUACUAACCAGAAAAAUAGGUAUCGAAUCCUGGUGUCUUGGCCAUACCCAGUGUCCGUCUGCAGUUUGCUCUUUGCUUUCAGUAAAGUAUUAAUUCGGCUUUGCUUUCA